rnacentral:rRNA from 1 species
UGAGGAAUAUUGGUCAAUGGGGGCAACCCUGAACCAGCCAAGUCGCGUGAAGGAUGAAGGUCUUAUGGAUUGUAAACUUCUUUUACACGGGAAUAAAGUGGGGGACGUGUCCCCCUUUGCAUGUACCGUGUGAAUAAGGAUCGGCUAACUCCGUGCCAGCAGCCGCGGUAAUACGGAGGAUCCGAGCGUUAUCCGGAUUUAUUGGGUUUAAAGGGUGCGCAGGCGGGAUGUUAAGUCGGCGGUGAAAUUUUGCAGCUCAACUGUAAAAGUGCCUUAGAUACGGGCCUCCUUGAGUGUGGAUGAAGUAGGCGGAAUUUGUGGUGUAGCGGUGAAAUGCUUAGAUAUCACGAGGAACUACGAUUGCGCAGGCAGCUUACUAAGCCACAACUGACGCUCAUGCACGAAGGCGUGGGGAUCAAACA